rnacentral:rRNA from 1 species
AGAGUUUGAUCCUGGCUCAGGACGAACGCUGGCGGCGUGCCUAACACAUGCAAGUCGUGCGAGAAAGCCCCUUCGGGGGUGAGUAAAGCGGCGGACGGGUGAGUAACACGUGAGCGAUCUACCCGACAGUGGGGGAUAACCCAGGGAAACCUGAGCUAAUACCGCAUGUUGCGCCGGCUUGGAAGCCGAGCGUUAAAGCGGGCCUCUCUUUAGAAGCUCGUGCUGUCGGAUGGGCUCGCGGCCUAUCAGCUUGUUGGUGGGGUAACGGCCUACCAAGGCGAUGACGGGUAGCUGGCGUGAGAGCGCGACCAGUCACACUGGGACUGAGACACGGCCCAGACUCCUACGGGAGGCAGCAGUGGGGAAUAUUGCGCAAUGGGCGAAAGCCUGACGCAGCAACGCCGCGUGAGGGAUGAAGGCCCUCGGGUCGUAAACCUCUGUCGGGAGGGAAGAACGGUUUUCAUUCAAAUAGGGUGGAGCCUGACGUACCUCCAAAGAAGCACCGCUAACU